rnacentral:rRNA from 1 species
UUACCGAAGCAGUGGACGUAUUAAUACGUGGUAGGGGAGCAUUCUAUUCAGCGCUGAAGAUGAGGGAUAACCCUUGUUGGAGCGGAUAGAAAAGCAAAUGUAGGUAUAAGUAACGAUAAGGAGGGUGAGAAACCCUCCCGCCGAAAGACUAAGGAUUCCUGAUCAACGCUAAUCGGAUCAGGGUUAGUCGGGCCCUAAGGUUAAGCCGAACGGCAAUACCGAUGGACGAACUGGUUAAUAUUCCAGUACUACUUUAUAGAGUGAUGUGGGGACGGAGAAGUGACACCACUGCCAUCUGACGGAAUAGGUGGUUAAAGAGUGUAGACGUUGAAGUUGGUAGGCAAAUCCGCCGGCCGAGUCGAACUUGACAGUAUACUGAGUGCUUGCACGAGGUAAUAUGUGGGUAAACAUGCUCCCAAGAAAAUCCGCUAAACUUAUCUAUAGAGUACCCGUACCGUAAACGGACACACGUAGUCGGGUUGAGAAUACUAAGGCGCUCGAGUGAUUCACGGUUAAGGAACUAGGCAAAAUGACCCCGUAACUUCGGGAGAAGGGGUGCCAGUUUAAAAGCUGGCCGCAGAGAAUAGGCCCAGGCGACUGUUUAACAAAAACACAUGGCUAUGCUAAAUAGAAAUAUGAUGUAUAUAGCCUGACACCUGCCCGGUGCUGGAAGGUUAAGAGGAGAGGUCAUCCGUAAGGAGAAGCUUUGAAUUGAAGCCCCAGUAAACGGCGGCCGUAACCAUAACGGUCCUAAGGUAGCGAAAUUCCUUGUCGGGUAAGUUCCGACCUGCACGAAUGGUGUAAUGAUCUGGACACUGUCUCAACCGUGAGCUCAGUGAAAUUGUAGUAUCGGUGAAGAUGCCGAUUACCCGCGAUGGGACGAAAAGACCCCGUGAACCUUUACUAUAGCUUAACAUUGAGUUUGGGCAAUUCAUGUGUAGGAUAGGCCGGAGGCUAUGAAGCAGGUACGCCAGUAUUUGUGGAGCCAUCCUUGAAAUACGGCCCUUGGAUUGUUUGAGCUCUAACUCCGAGAUCGGAGGACACUGUUUGGUGGGUAGUUUGACUGGGGUGGUCGCCUCCAAAAGCGUAACGGAGGCUUCUAAAGGUGCCCUCACGACGAUUGGUAACCGUCGGUAGAGUGUAAUGGCAUAAGGGCGCUUGACUGAGAGACAUACAAGUCGACCAGGUAGGAAACUAGAGCAUAGUGAUCCGGUGUUUCCGUAUGGAAGGGACAUCGCUCAAAGGAUAAAAGGUACUCCGGGGAUAACAGGCUGAUCCCUCCCAAGAGCUCAUAUCGACGGAGGGGUUUGGCACCUCGAUGUCGGCUCGUCACAUCCUGGGGCUGGAGAAGGUCCCAAGGGUUGGGCUGUUCGCCCAUUAAAGUGGCACGCGAGCUGGGUUCAGAACGUCGUGAGACA